rnacentral:lncRNA from 7 species
ACAGUGUAGAUCUGCACAAAAAUAGAAAAUCUGCAAGGCAGUUUUUCUGGGUUUUGAAUUAUUUUGUCUGUAAAUUCUUCUAAAGUAUCUGUACAAAGAAUUCUGUGGGGAUGUUUGAUCUGGGAUGAGAAGUAACAAAAAUGGGGAUUUGGAAUAUGUGCUAUUCCUCCUGGGUUCCACUCAGCGACCUGCUGACUAGUAGUGGCUCUGGAAUGACCUAGUUCCUCAGCUGUACUCAGGAACUGCUUGGGAGAUAAUGACGUGAGGCAUCAAGAGAAGGUGAGAUGGAUCUUCUAAUAACAUACUAGUAUUAAAAAUCAUACUCCAUCUUCCAGGAAUUACUUAGGUAUCUCAAGUUCAAAAUGGCAAAGAAGCCAUCCUUUUUCUUCUCUUGAUGUUAGAAUACAAUAACUUGGUCUGUUUCACACAAAAGAGCAUUCUCCUCACUAAAAGAGAACAUUUAUCCUUUGAUAAAUGUAAUAUUGCUGCAAACUUGACAAUAAAUGAGCUGACCAUAAAAUGAGGAUGGAUUCUACUUUAAUGUUCUUGCCAGAAAUUCUUGUAGAUAUCGUCAAAUUUUGGAAUUAAUCUCUCACUUUUUAAAAUGUAGAAUUAAAUUCUUAAUAUUACAUUAAAUUCUGAAUAUUUUGUGUUCUUUCUGGAUUAAUUAUUAACUCAUUAUUGCAAACAUGAUUCUAACAGUAAGUGAAGUCUGUAAUUUUUCAAAAACUGGCUAUUUCUAUAAGUAAAAUUUGUUGAUCAGGUCAGUUUGAAAAAUAGGAUAACAAAAAAUAAAAAAGGCACUGCUUCAGUUUCAAAAUUUUUGAACUAUAAAUAGAAAAGAUAUUUAUUCCUUCGCAAUAGUUCAAAAUACAAUGAAACACUUAUCAGUUCCUCUGGGAAUAUUCUGUGUAGCUAGAUCAAUUUAUUCUCAAGUGUUUUUCCAAAAUUCAGUGUAAAUUAUCCUUUUCUUAGUGUCAUUCUGUAACUCCUACACAUUCUCUGUCUGCUUUUAAAGUAUUUGUCAUGAAGCUUCAGGUAAAUUCAUUAUUAGGUCUCUUUUUCAAUGAUAAAAAAAACAUAUUCUAUGUCAAUCAAAUCCUCCAUUAGAGCCUAGCUAAUGUUGAUUAUCUAGGCCCUCAGUGACAAACUGUUUAGAGUGGACUGAGUAAAUCAAGAGGAAGAGUAAGAUUCUGUUCCUGAAAGUUUGGAUAAAAAUUACUUGUAAGAUCCUGGUCCAGGGUUCUCAGAUAAAACACUAGUUCAUCCUCAAGCAAGGGAAUAACAAUAAAGUACUUUGAAGAUCUAUCAAUUGCAUUGAAGUUGUUUUAUUAAAAGGUAGAUACAUCUUCAUUUUGGUAGGGGUAUUAAGCCUGAAUAACACAUUUAAAGUUUAAUGUGUCAAGAUUCAUAUAUCUUAAAAGAGUGUUACCUGUACAUACUAGAGAUUACAAGAUCAAAAUAUUUUGCAUCCAGCAUGGAAGAAACCUAAUAUUAGAAUUCAACCUGAAAAUACUUCAAUUCAUCCUGAAAAAGAAAGACAGUCUAUAUGGACUUAGUGAUCUGUACUGGUUGAAUUGCCAGUAGCAUUUUCUCAGUCUGCCUUAGGCUCACAAGUAGUUACUUUAUAACUGCUGAGAG